rnacentral:rRNA from 1 species
ACGAUGAAACCGCGAAUGGCUCAUUAAAUCAGCUAUGGUUCCUUGGAUCGUGUCUCUUACAUGGAUAACUGUGGGAAUUCUAGAGCUAAUACAUGCACCAAAGCCGUGACCGCAAGGAACGGCGCAUUUAUUAGAUCAAAACCAACCGGUCUCCGGACUGAGUUGUUUGAUGACUCUGGAUAAACUUGAGCAGAUCGCAUGGCCGUGAGCCGGCGACGUAUCCUUCAAAUGUCUGCCCUAUCAACUUACGUUGGUAGGUUACCUGCCUACCAUGGUGAUCACGGGUAACGGGGAAUCAGGGUUCGAUUCCGGAGAGGGAGCAUGAGAAACGGCUACCAGAACUACGGUUUGCAGCAGGCGCGCAAAUUACCCACUCCCAGUACGGGGAGGUAGUGACGAAAAAUAACAAUACGGGUCUUUUUAUAGGCCCCGUAAUUGGAAUGAGUACACCUUAAAACCAUUAACGAGUACCAAUUGGAGGGCAAGUCUGGUGCCAGCAGCCGCGGUAAUCCAGCUCCA